rnacentral:rRNA from 1 species
CCUACGGGAGGCAGCAGUGGGGAAUUUUGGACAAUGGGCGCAAGCCUGAUCCAGCAAUGCCGCGUGAGUGAAGAAGGCCUUCGGGUUGUAAAGCUCUUUUGUCAGGGAAGAAACGGUGGGAGCUAAUAUCUCCUACUAAUGACGGUACCUGAAGAAUAAGCACCGGCUAACUACGUGCCAGCAGCCGCGGUAAUACGUAGGGUGCAAGCGUUAAUCGGAAUUACUGGGCGUAAAGCGUGCGCAGGCGGUUUUGUAAGUCUGUCGUGAAAGCCCCGGGCUCAACCUGGGAAUUGCGAUGGAGACUGCAAGGCUUGAAUCUGGCAGAGGGGGGUAGAAUUCCACGUGUAGCAGUGAAAUGCGUAGAGAUGUGGAGGAACACCGAUGGCGAAGGCAGCCCCCUGGGUCAAGAUUGACGCUCAUGCACGAAAGCGUGGGGAGCAAACAGGAUUAGAUACCCUGGUAGUCCACGCCCUAAACGAUGUCUACUAGUUGUCGGGUUUUAAUUAACUUGGUAACGCAGCUAACGCGUGAAGUAGACCGCCUGGGGNGGUACGGUCGGCGAGAUUAAACUACAAUUAGAGUUGCGGCGNGAGACGNGCCGACGGACGACGACGAGGGAGGAGG